UCAGGAUGAACGCUAGCUACAGGCUUAACACAUGCAAGUCGUGGGGCAUCAGGAAGAAAGCUUGCUUUCUUUGCUGGCGACCGGCGCACGGGUGAGUAACACGUAUCCAACCUGCCCUUUACUCGGGGAUAGCCUUUCGAAAGAAAGAUUAAUACCCGAUAGCAUAAUGAUUCCGCAUGGUUUCAUUAUUAAAGGAUUCCGGUAAAGGAUGGGGAUGCGUUCCAUUAGGUUGUUGGUGAGGUAACGGCCCACCAAGCCUUCGAUGGAUAGGGGUUCUGAGAGGAAGGUCCCCCACAUUGGAACUGAGACACGGUCCAAACUCCUACGGGAGGCAGCAGUGAGGAAUAUUGGUCAAUGGGCGCUAGCCUGAACCAGCCAAGUAGCGUGAAGGAUGAAGGCUCUAUGGGUCGUAAACUUCUUUUAUAUAAGAAUAAAGUGCAGUAUGUAUACUGUUUUGUAUGUAUUAUAUGAAUAAGGAUCGGCUAACUCCGUGCCAGCAGCCGCGGUAAUACGGAGGAUCCGAGCGUUAUCCGGAUUUAUUGGGUUUAAAGGGAGCGUAGGUGGACUGGUAAGUCAGUUGUGAAAGUUUGCGGCUCAACCGUAAAAUUGCAGUUGAUACUGUCAGUCUUGAGUACAGUAGAGGUGGGCGGAAUUCGUGGUGUAGCGGUGAAAUGCUUACAUAUCACGAAGAACUCCGAUUGCGAAGGCAGCUCACUGGACUGCAACUGACACUGAUGCUCGAAAGUGUGGGUAUCAAACAGGAUUAGAUACCCUGGUAGUCCACACAGUAAACGAUGAAUACUCGCUGUUUGCGAUAUACAGUAAGCGGCCAAGCGAAAGCAUUAAGUAUUCCACCUGGGGAGUACGCCGGCAACGGUGAAACUCAAAGGAAUUGACGGGGGCCCGCACAAGCGGAGGAACAUGUGGUUUAAUUCGAUGAUACGCGAGGAACCUUACCCGGGCUUAAAUUGCAGUGGAAUGAUGUGGAAACAUGUCAGUGAGCAAUCACCGCUGUGAAGGUGCUGCAUGGUUGUCGUCAGCUCGUGCCGUGAGGUGUCGGCUUAAGUGCCAUAACGAGCGCAACCCUUAUCUUUAGUUACUAACAGGUUAUGCUGAGGACUCUAGAGAGACUGCCGUCGUAAGAUGUGAGGAAGGUGGGGAUGACGUCAAAUCAGCACGGCCCUUACGUCCGGGGCUACACACGUGUUACAAUGGGGGGUACAGAAGGCAGCUAGCGGGUGACCGUAUGCUAAUCCCAAAAUCCUCUCUCAGUUCGGAUGGAAGUCUGCAACCCGACUUCGUGAAGCUGGAUUCGCUAGUAAUCGCGCAUCAGCCACGGCGCGGUGAAUACGUUCCCGGGCCUUGUACACACCGCCCGUCAAGCCAUGGGAGCCGGGGGUACCUGAAAUACGUAACCGCAAGGAUCGUCCUAGGGUA
rnacentral:rRNA from 1 species